rnacentral:misc_RNA from 1 species
CUGUUCGAGCGUCAUUGCAACCCUCAAGCACUGCUUGGUAUUGGGUGCCACUUCUAUGGUGCAUCUCAAAAAUAUCAGUGGCAGCAUUCAGCUUCUAGCGUAGUAAAUUUCUCGCUCUGGAGUGAAGAUGUGUAGCCUCUCAUGACACCAAUUUAUCAAAGGUUGACCUCGGAUCAGGUAGGGAUACCCGCUGAACUUAA